UCUUACAUGUGAAGCCAACGAGGCUGGAUGGU
rnacentral:piRNA from 1 species